AAAAAAAAAAAAAAAGAAAAGAAAAGAAAAAAUGAAAAGGAAAAAGAAACGUGAAAAAACCAAAAAAGUCGAUGCAGAAAGCAGAGGAGCGAUCGGUAAAAUCACUGUCGUCGAAAGUGUAAUUCUGAAAUCCAUUCCGGCCAGUUAAAGGGAACCAAGUAACGUGAAGUAAUUCGUUCACGGAUAAAGGGGGAUCACCGAACAUUGGCAAUUUAGUGGAUUCACCGGAGAAUCUCUCCACCUCGAAUGUGCACCGUUGACGAGGUUUUAAUUACGCUAAUUACUCGAACGAAGCGGUACAACAGGCAGCCACCAGGGUGUAUCGUCGUGGGAAAUGCCUGAGUGUGGUGAUUUUGAUGUGGAAUAAAAAUAGCGCAAAUAGGCUGAAUACCCGAUAAAUUUGAGGUUAGUUACCGUUCUUCUUCAUCGAUGUAGUCACGGGUGGCGGUGUCGUGGACGUCGUAGAUGGUGUUGGAAUCUCUGUAAAGGAAAAGAUGAAUUUUACCAAUUUAUUCGUCCAAGGAGGUGGAAAAGUAUACUCUCUCGGGAUAAAUAUAUCCUUCGUAAAUUUAAUCGCCAAUUACGAGCCACGUUGAAAAGAUAAGGACGCUUGACCUCGUCAAACGAUCGAUAGCCAUCGAGUGUUUGAAAAAGUUUAUGCAUGGGAGAACAAACGCCAAGGCAUAUCGAACGAAGCAGUGCUUGCGUGAAUAUUUCAUAUUCUUGUGUUUGAUACGUGUAUUCAAAACGUGUAUACUACGAAAUUUAUCGCUAAACAAACAAAAUGAACGCGCAUGCAGUUGUUUGAAUAACUAGACUGCAAUUUCUUGUAUUAUUUUAUUAUAUAAUUUUAUUUUGAAUCGCGAAUUUUAUUUGAGAAUUUAAAUAUCGAAGAAAGUUAAAUUUUUAAUUUUUUAUUUUAUUACAAAAUUAA